AACGGACGCUGGCGGCAUGCCUAACACAUGCAAGUCGAACGAGAUCUUCGGGUCUAGUGGCGCACGGGUGCGUAGCGCGUGGGAAUCUGCCCUUUGGUUCGGAAUAACAGUUGGAAACGACUGCUAAUACCGGAUGAUGACGAAAGUCCAAAGAUUUAUCGCCAGAGGAUGAGCCCGCGUAGGAUUAGCUAGUUGGUGUGGUAAAGGCGCACCAAGGCGACGAUCCUUAGCUGGUCUGAGAGGAUGAUCAGCCACACUGGGACUGAGACACGGCCCAGACUCCUACGGGAGGCAGCAGUGGGGAAUACUGGACAAUGGGCGAAAGCCUGAUCCAGCAAUGCCGCGUGAGUGAUGAAGGCCUUAGGGUUGUAAAGCUCUUUUACCCGGGAUGAUAAUGACAGUACCGGGAGAAUAAGCUCCGGCUAACUCCGUGCCAGCCGCCGCGGUAA
rnacentral:rRNA from 1 species